rnacentral:rRNA from 1 species
CAGUCGCCGCGGUAAUACGUAGGGUGCAAGCGUUAAUCGGAAUUACUGGGCGUAAAGCGUGCGUAGGUGGUGGUUUAAGUCCGUUGUGAAAGCCCUGGGCUCAACCUGGGAAUUGCAGUGGAUACUGGAUCACUAGAGUGUGGUAGAGGAUAGUGGAAUUUCCGGUGUAGCGGUGAAAUGCGUAGAGAUCGGAAGGAACAUCUGUGGCGAAGGCGACUCUCUGGUCUGUAACUGACGCUGAGGAGCGAAAGCGUGGGGAGCGAACAGGAUUAGAUACCCCUGUAGUCCCUGUCUCUUAUAC